CAUUAAGGUUUUCCUAGACUCUGUCAGUUUCUUAAUUUCAAGUAACUUCUGAGAAGUAAGUUUUGUGUCUAAAAUGCUCUGUACUUUAUUAAUAUGACCUGCCACUUAUUCCCUUAUUUUUAGUAGUGGGUAUCUCAUCCUUUAUGGGCUUAUACAAAUUAAAUUUAUGCAAACUUUGCCCUCAGUGCCAGUGGGACUGAAGCAAUGUUGAAGUCUCAAGUGUGUGUAUUUGUACAUGGGUUUCUUUACAGAGUUAAAGCUUGUACUUCAAAAGAACAUGGGCAUCAUUUUGAAGACUGUGUGGUCCAUAGCAGCUGCCAUAAUGUUAUAAUUUUAUACUGUGAUGUCCUUCAGUUGGCCUCUGCUGAAACCUGAGCUGUCACGCUGAGGUGCAGAAGACAAAAGGUUCCUUUUAAUCAAGGUAUGCAGGAGAAAAGAACAAUUUCAACUAAGUGGAAAGUCUCAAAAAUGAGGCUCAAUUUAGCAUAUAAAUGAAAAAUUCAUCAAUAAAACAAAUCUAUAUAACA
rnacentral:lncRNA from 1 species